UACGUAGGGGGCGAGCGUUGUCCGGAUUUAUUGGGCGUAAAGAGCGUGUAGGCGGCCAGGUAGGUCCGUUGUGAAAACUCGAGGCUCAACCUCGAGACGUCGAUGGAAACCAUCUGGCUAGAGUCCGGAAGAGGAGAGUGGAAUUCCUGGUGUAGCGGUGAAAUGCGUAGAUAUCGGGAGGAACACCUGAGGCGAAGGCGGGCUACUGGGCCGAUACUGACGCUGAUGUGCGAAAGCCAGGGGAGCGAACGGG
rnacentral:rRNA from 1 species